rnacentral:rRNA from 1 species
AUGAACGCUGGCGGCAGGCCUAAAACAUGCAAGUCGAACGCCCUAGCAAUAGGGAGUGGCGCACGGGUGAGUAACAUGUGGGAAUAUGCCUUUUGGUACGGAACAACGUUUGGAAACGAACGCUAAUACCGUAUGGUCCCUCCGGGGUAAAGAUUUAUCGCCAAAAGAUUAGCCCGCACUAGAUUAGCUAGUUGGUAAGGUAAUGGCUUACCAAGGCGACGAUCUAUAGCUGUUCUGAGAGGAAGAUCAGCCACACUGGGACUGAGACACGGCCCAGACUCCUACGGGAGGCAGCAGUGGGGAAUCUUGCGCAAUGGGCGAAAGCCUGACGCAGCCAUGCCGCGUGGAUGAUGAAGGUCUUAGGAUUGUAAAAUCCUUUCACCGGUGAAGAUAAUGACUGAAGCCGGAGAAGAAGCCCCGGCUAACUUCGUGCCAGCAGCCGCGGUAAUAC